UAUUAUUAUUGAUUAUACGUAAGCUUUCACUUUAUACCCCUUUUUAUAUAUCCAUUAAUAAAGUUUUAAAAACAUAAUUAAAUGUUGUUUAUAUAUAUCCACUCAAUAGCAUUACGCAAUCCCGUCAAAUACUAAAACUAGCCAAACAUUUAACCAAAAACUAGUUAAGUAGCUACAUAUUUUUACAAAUAUUUCACUACUUUUUGAUUCCCUCCUUGCGUCUUACAUUAUUAUAUAAAUGCGCAAGUAUUACAUCCACUCAGGGUACUUUAGCGUCUUACAUUAUUAAAUAAAUGCGCAAGUAUUACACCUUUAUACAUAUGUAUGUCAAUAUACUAUAAAAUAGAAUUACCAUAUCUACGGUUUACCAACAAAACACAAGUAAAAAAGUUGCAAUUUAUUCAAAACACACUCUAAUUUUGAAUACAAAAAUGCUUUUCCUCUAAAAAAAUAGAGGAAAGCGUGAGGAAGGAUAAAACCUUUUAACUACGUGGAUAAAAAAAGUGAAUAACUUUUGUUAACUAAACUAUUCCAAAAAAAAAUUAUAUAAUGUAAAGAGGCAUAUAUAUAUAUCUUUAUCACUUAUCACUUAUGCUUUUACAAAAUAUGACAAAAAGUUACACUUUUUUAUUGCUCCAUAAGUUAAGGUAAGGUACAUUGAGUAACAAAAAUAAACAGUAAAAAUACCGACUUUCAAUUUAGCGAAAAAAAAAAUAAAUUAUGUAUUAUAACAUUAUAAUAGAACCUCUCAUAAAAUGCAGUUUUAAAAAACAUGCAGUUAUAUGUUAUAAUAUCAUAAUUUACUUUUUUUUUAGCUUAACUACUUGCUAUUUCUUUUUAUAGCUUACUAGUUUAUGCUUGCUACUCAACUCCUUCCUCGAGUAUAGAUUUUUCCUUGUUUGCACGUACAAAAAAUUGUAGGCGCCGAUAUGUGUUCAAUUUUUUUUUUUUUUUUUUUUUUUUUUUCCCAAAACUUUUUUUAUCAAUUCCGAUCAAUUUUUGCAUUUUUUUUUUUACCCAUUACACUUAGUGAAAAAAAAAAAAAAAAAAAACAUUUAUACAUAAGUAUAUGCUCAUUUUUUUUUUUUUUUUUUUUUUUUUUUUUUUUUUAUUUUUUUGUCAACGGUAAUAAUAUUGAAAGUUUUUAGUGCUAUUAACUUGUAGCAUUCACCAAAUAAAUGAAAAAAAAAAAAAACCUCA
rnacentral:lncRNA from 1 species